ACGCCGAACCCGAUUUUAUUUCCUCUCCUUCCCUCUCUGCCCCGAUGCGAUCCCGAUCUCCCCUCUCUUCCUUCUCUGUUCUCUCUCGCGGACGAGCGACGGCAAUGAGAGCAAGGCUCCAGCUCCGGUGAUCUUCUCUACCGGCAUCGACUCCCAUUGAGCUCAAGUCCAACCGGUGCUUUUCUCUCCGAGCUCCAGCUCCGGUGAUACCUAUUGAUGCCUACCUGCCGACGCCACUGAUCGAGCGAGAUCCACCCGAUCGCCGACGAGGGUUUUCUUUCGGAGGUUUGAGAGAGGGGCUAGCUUCAUCCGAUCCCUUUUCCUUGUGCAACCGUGCCCUAGAUCUCUUCGGUUGGCACCAAUCCGUUGUCGUGACAACAAAGUCGUGCCCUAGCCGAAUCUGGAAGGUCACGGAUUGGAGACAUUGGGGAUCAGUGAGGUGAUGAGAUCUGUUCUUUGGUGUUCUUGAUGUCACCUUGGAUCGAUUGAGUAGGGAGGGAUUUCAGCAGGAUUGUGUUCUGUGAAUUCUCCUUAGCUCCAGCAGCAGCUCAGUUUGGUUCGGCAGCCACCCCUACCUCAGUGUUCUUUGUUCCAGCAUCUUGUUCGGUUGUGAGUUUGAGGACUCUGAUUCGAGACGGCGUCUCGAUGUCGACUUUGGAUUGCGUGAUUUGUACCUUCUAUUUGAGGCGGGUACCCUUUGACUUAUCUUUUGAUAGUAUCUUAUGAUAUGUGCAGUUUAUAUAUACUUACUAGUGUUGGUAGUUAGUAUUUUCCUGGAUUUAGUUUAGUUGGCUACAUGUUUCUACUGUUAUCUACUAUACAUAGGCUGGUAUACCUUUACUUCUUACCAUGUGUAUAUAUGUUCGUGGAUAUGGAUAUUUAUAGUGCUUCACUAUACUGGAUUAGUUGUUAUACAUGUUGGUUAUGUGAUGUUCGGUUUAUGCUCUUUAUUAUCAUUGUUAUAUAUGUGUUUGUCUGUUUGGCAUCUACACAUAUAGAGGAGGAUAUGUUCAGGUAUGACAUACUGUAGUCGCAUGCACCAUAUCACAUGAUUGCAUGCUGGGCGAUUGA